rnacentral:rRNA from 1 species
UAGGGAAUAUUGCACAAUGAGCGAAAGCUUGAUCUAGCAACACCGCGUGUGCGAAGAAGGCCUUCGGGUCGUAAAGCACUUUUUGGAAGGAAUAGGAAGGAAUGUACUUCCAGAAUAAGUCUCGGCUAACUACGUGCCAGCAGCCGCGGUAACACGUAGGAGGCAAACGUUAUCCGGAUUUACUGGGCGUAAAGCGCGUGUAGGUGGUACUGUAAGUAGGGCGUGAAAGCUCCUGGCUCAACUGGGAGAGGCCGUUCUAAACUACAGAACUAGAGGAUGGUAGAGGGAGGUGGAAUUCCAGGUGUAGCGGUGGAAUGCGCAGAUAUCUGGAGGAACACCGGUGGCGAAGGCGGCCUCCUGGACCAUUCCUGACACUCAGACGCGAAAGCUAGGGUAGCAAACGG